rnacentral:rRNA from 1 species
UACAGAGGGGGCAAGCGUUGUUCGGAAUUACUGGGCGUAAAGCGUGCGUAGGCGGUUUGUUAAGUCUGAUGUGAAAUCCCCGGGCUCAACCUGGGAACUGCAUUUGUGACUGCAUCGCUGGAGUACGGCAGAGGGGGAUGGAAUUCCGCGUGUAGCAGUGAAAUGCGUAGAUAUGCGGAGGAACACCGAUGGCGGAAGGCAAUCCCCGUGGGCCUGUACUGACGCUCAUGCACGAAAGCGUGGGGAGCAAACAGG